GAUGAACGCUGGCGGCGUGCCUAAUACAUGCAAGUCGAGCGAACGGACGAGAAGCUUGCUUUUCUGAUGUUAGCGGCGGACGGGUGAGUAACACGUGGAUAACCUACCUAUAAGACUGGGAUAACUUCGGGAAACCGGAGCUAAUACCGGAUAAUAUUUUGAACCGCAUGGUUCAUAAGUGAAAGACGGUCUUGCUGUCACUUAUAGAUGGAUCCGCGCUGCAUUAGCUAGUUGGUAAGGCAACGGCUUACCAAGGCAACGAUGCAUAGCCGACCUGAGAGGGUGAUCGGCCACACUGGAACUGAGACACGGUCCAGACUCCUACGGGAGGCAGCAGUAGGGAAUCUUCCGCAAUGGGCGAAAGCCUGACGGAGCAACGCCGCGUGAGUGAUGAAGGUCUUCGGAUCGUAAAACUCUGUUAUUAGGGAAGAACAUAUGUGUAAGUAACUGUGCACAUCUUGACGGUACCUAAUCAGAAAGCCACGGCUAACUACGU
rnacentral:rRNA from 1 species